AACGAACGCUGGCGGCAUGCCUAACACAUGCAAGUCGAACGAGACCUUCGGGUCUAGUGGCGCACGGGUGCGUAACGCGUGGGAACCUGCCCUUAGGUUCGGAAUAACUCCCCGAAAGGGGUGCUAAUACCGGAUAAUGUCUUCGGACCAAAGAUUUAUCGCCUUUGGAUGGGCCCGCGUUGGAUUAGCUAGUUGGUAGGGUAAAAGCCUACCAAGGCGACGAUCCAUAGCUGGUCUGAGAGGAUGAUCAGCCACACUGGGACUGAGACACGGCCCAGACUCUUGGGGGAGGAGGGAGGGGGGAAUAUUGAAAAGGGGGCGAAAGCUAGACCAAGCAUGGCCGGGUGAGUAAUGAAGCCCUGGGGGUUGAAAAGCCCCUUUCCCCGGAAGAAUAAUAACGUGCCGGGAAAAAUAGGCCCCGGCAAACCCCGUG
rnacentral:rRNA from 1 species